GGAAGUGUGCCUGAAAGAUAA
rnacentral:tRNA from 1 species